UACGUAGGGUGCAAGCGUUAAUCGGAAUUACUGGGCGUAAAGCGUGCGCAGGCGGUUCGCUAAGACCGAUGUGAAAUCCCCGGGCUUAACCUGGGAACUGCAUUGGUGACUGGCGGGCUAGAGUAUGGCAGAGGGGGGUAGAAUUCCACGUGUAGCAGUGAAAUGCGUAGAGAUGUGGAGGAAUACCGAUGGCGAAGGCAGCCCCCUGGGCCAAUACUGACGCUCAGGCACGAAAGCGUGGGGAGCAAACAGG
rnacentral:rRNA from 1 species